CUUCAAGGUGAGGCUUCACAUGGGCUCACCUUGUUUCCUCUGUUCACCUCUGAUCCUGCAUGGGCUGGGAACGCAGGCUGGCUGUGGGCUCCUAGGCGGGGCCCAGGAGGGGCCUGGGCUGAGGAAACGGCAGGGUCAGCUCUCCCAACCCCCGGGGCCUGUGCUGGGCUGUGGGUGGCGACGGCUGCUGCCUCCCUGGGGAGGGCUCCUGACCCCCACUCCUUCUCCAGGUGGACCUGGUGUGUCACGGCAAGACAGAAAUCAUCCCUGACAGGGAUGGCUCCGACCCAUACCAGGAGCCCAAGAGAAGGGGCAUCUUCCAUCAGAUUGACAGUGGCAGCAACCUCACCACAGACCUCAUCGUCCAGCGGAUCAUCACCAACAGGUUGGAGUAUGAGGCGCGAAACCAGAAGAAGGAAGCCAAGGAGCUGGCCUUCCUGGAGGCCGCCAGGCGGCAGGCGGCACAACCCCUGGGGGAGCGCGAUGGCGACUUCUGACCUGGCGGAGACCCUGGCCGGCCCUCCCCCUGCUCUGCUUCUGCGCCUUCUGCGUUUGGACAUAGGACUCUGCAGGGCCGCCCUCUCUAACUGGCCUGGCUCUGGAAGGGCUGGUGAGGACUCUGCCUCCUGCCUGCCUUCAAGGUGCCUGGUUUGCAGCAGGCUCUCCGCCCUUUCCAGCAAAGCUGCUCAGAGA
rnacentral:sRNA from 1 species